GAUGAACGCUGGCGGCGUGCCUAAUACAUGCAAGUCGAGCGAACAGAUGAGGAGCUUGCUCCUCUGACGUUAGCGGCGGACGGGUGAGUAGCACGUGGAUAACCUACCUAUAAGACUGGGAUAACUUCGGGAAACCGGAGCUAAUCCCGGAUAAUAUAUUGAACCGCAUGGGUCGAUAGUGAAAGACGGUUUUGCUGUCACUUCUAGAUGGAUCCGCGCCGCAUUAGCUAGUUGGUAAGGUAACGGCUUACCACGGCAACGCUGCGUAGCCGACGUGAGCGGGGGAUCGGCCACAUGGGAACGGAGACACGGACCAGACUCCUACGGGAGGCAGCAGUAGGGAAUCGUCCGCAAUGGGCGAAAGCCUGACGGAGCAACGCCGCGUGAGUGAUGAAGGUCUUCGGAGCGUAAAACUCGGUUAUUAGGGAAGAACAAAUGUGUAAGUAACUAUGCACGUCUUGACGGUACCUAAUCAGAAAGCCACGGCUAACUACGUG
rnacentral:rRNA from 1 species